rnacentral:rRNA from 1 species
GACGUAGGGAGCAAGCGUUGUCCGGAAUUAUUGGGCGUAAAGAGCUCGUAGGCGGUUUGUCACGUCUGCUGUGAAAUCCCGAGGCUCAACCUCGGGCCUGCAGUGGGUACGGGCAGACUGGAGUGCGGUAGGGGGAGAAUGGAAUUCCUGGUGUAGCGGUGGAAUGCGCAGAUAUCAGGAGGAACACCGAUGGCGAAGGCAGUUCUCUGGGCCGUAACUGACGCUGAGGAGCGAAAGCGUGGGGAGCGAACAGG